rnacentral:rRNA from 1 species
UUCCUACGGGGCGCAGCAGUGGGGAAUAUUGGGCAAUGGGCGCAAGCCUGACCCAGCAACGCCGCGUGAAGGAAGAAGGCUUUCGGGUUGUAAACUUCUUUUAUUGAGGACGAAACAAAUGACGGUACUCAAUGAAUAAGCCACGGCUAACUACGUGCCAGCAGCCGCGGUAAUACGUAGGUGGCAAGCGUUAUCCGGAUUUACUGGGUGUAAAGGGCGUGUAGGCGGGACUGCAAGUCAGAUGUGAAAACCAUGGGCUCAACCCAUGGCCUGCAUUUGAAACUGUAGUUCUUG